rnacentral:misc_RNA from 1 species
UCCGAGUUGGCCCCGGCAGUCUCCUACGAGUCCCCGGCAUUACCCGCUGGCAACAUAGGACAAGGGUUGCGCUCGUUGCGGGACUUAACCCAACACCUCACGGCACGAGCUGACGACAGCCAUGCAGCACCUGAACCAGCGGUCCCCGAAGGGAAAGUCCUAUUUCUAGGAAGGUCCGCUGUUGUCUAGUCCAGGUAAGGUUCUUCGCGUUGCGUCGAAUUGAACCACAUGCUCCACCGCUUGUGCAGGCCCCCGUCAAUUUCUUUGAGUUUUAACCUUGCGGCCGUACUCCCCAGGCGGAGAACUUAAUGCGUUAGCUGCGCCACCAAAACCCUAAGGGCCCCGACAGCUAGUUAUCAUCGUUUACGGCGUGGACUAC